GCUGCUGUUAAUAUCUAUCACUUAAGAAAAACCUUUUGUGGCAACACUCUUGUGAAAUCUGAUGAAAACAAGUGGAAAACGUUCUUGAAGUAUAGUCUCUUUAGCUGGGGUGUUCCUCUCAUCAUAACUAUUGUUUACAUUGUACUUGUGAAGAAAGAUGUUUUAAGAUUUCAUCUAGAUAUUACUACAAGUUGUGUCAUGGGUAAUGAACUUCCUCUUUGGUUAGCUGAUAUGGAAAAAUAUGGUCUUACGGGUUCUCUUUUGUUGUAUAUUAUUGGAAUGUUCAUCUUCACUGCUUAUCGAAUUCGUCAAAAACUCAAAGCAAGCAGUAGCUUGCACAGAAAUCAAAUAUUGUUAAGAAACGCAAUAGCUUUGUCCUAUUGCUUAAGUUGUCAACCACUAGUGCCAUUAGCUUACUUCCUCUUUUGUUUUUAAACCUCAUAGUAAAAUUAGAUGUUAAUAUCAAAACAAUGAUAAAUACUGUGACGUUUCUUAGUGGUGUCUACAUAGGUGUUGCGUUUGUCUUCACCAAAAAAAAUUACAGGUUGUUUAAGAAGAAAUAUUUCCCAGCAAAAAAGAAACCAGUUAACGUGUAGUUGAAAAAGUAGGUAAGUAAGCAAGCGAGU